CCUCUGCAACAUAAUCCCUACCCGAUGUAUUCAUAUAGCAGGCCUCACAUGCCAUCCUGAUGUCGAGUUUGUGGACAAAGAAGCAGUCGCAGUUACCAGUGUGUCUCGGAAGGCAACUUUCUACAAUGGACCAAGCUCUACGGACUUCAUAAAUGUCCAUGACAUUUUUCUUGAAUGUGAUCAUGAUUCAAUCAUAUACCUUGGGAAGUCUGUUGAACCAACAAUAUAUGAUCUUUUGGGUGAUCAAGAGGUUUGUAAUCUGGACUUUUCUGAAAACUUUGUAAUAUCUUCUUUCUGCUAUGCUUCUUGGUUAUUUUGGAAUCUUUCUGCCACAAUUUUGCAAUGCAAGGUUGAAAUCUGCUUGUUGAAAAAUGGAAAACCAUCAUGGACGAAGAAGUUUCUUUGCUCCAAAGUCAGGCCCGUCAAGAAUUAAUUCAAGAUAUGUUUAAGGUCUGGCAAGAUUCUCAGCAAGGAACUCUUACUGGUGGCAUGAUAAAGUAUGAAAAUGCAAUCCUACAUGACAUGAACCACCAUCACAAGUUUCUAGUCUUUUGGCUAUUGUUCAUUAGUUGCAAAUGGAGUUUAUUUGUUUAUUUGUAUUGGGAUAAAUUUUAUUUGAAUAUGAGACAUGUUUUUUCUUUUGUGAU